AUGAAUCCCAUGGCCAAAUGCUGCCUACUGCUCCUCCCCAUCUUCUUCUUGGCAUUUCUCUUGCCCGAGGCGCACGUGACUUCGUGCCACCCCGCCGACCUUCGCGCACUGCAGGACUUUGUUAGGAACCUCAGCGGUGGGGGUGUCCUCCUCCAGGCCACAUGGUUCGGCGCCGCAUGCUGCAGCUGGGAAGGCGUGGGCUGUGACGCCGCCACUGGCCGUGUCAUGGCACUGCGCCUCCCCAGGCGCGGCCUUGCAGGGCCCUUCCCAGGAACCUCCCUUGCAGGACUUGCACAUCUCGAGGAGCUUGACCUCGGCUCCAACAACUUUCACAACAUCUCAGGGGUGCUCACCGUGUUGCGUGGGUGCCAGAACCUCACCACGCUGAUUCUCACCAAGAAUUUUGGUGGUGAGGAGCUACUAGGCGAUGGUAUUAUUGGCGAGUUCAAGAGCCUCGAGGUGCUGGCCCUUGGUGAUUGUGCUCUCAAGGGCAGGGUUCCGGAAUGGUUGUCUCAAUGCAAGAAAAUGGAGGUGCUUGAUUUGUCUGGCAACCAAUUGGUGGGCGCCAUCCCAUCGUGGAUUGGUGAGCUUCACCACCUUUGCUACUUGGAUCUCUCAAACAAUUCAUUGGUUGGCGAUGCACCUAAGAGUUUGGCACUGCUAAAGGGGCUCGCCCCUAAUGGGCGUUCACCGGGCAUGGUUUUCGCUAACAUGCCGUUGUAUGUGAAGCAUAACAGAAUCACACUCGGACGACGACUUAACGAGCUCCCAAAUGUCAUAACAGGGAUCAACAAUGUUGUGAGAUCUGGGAGAAAGAAUGUUAUAUGUGGGAAUGACAACACUGUCAUAUUUGGGGAUGAAAACACCAUAUCCGGAAAUGAAAACACCGUAUCUGGGAACAACCAUGUCGUAUAUGGGAGUAAGCAUGUCGUAUCUGGGAGCAGGCAUGUCAUAACUGGGAGAAACAGUUUUGUAUCCGGGAGCUACAAUAACGUAUCUGGGAUUUACCAUGUCGUAUCUGGGAGUAACAAUGUAGUAUUUGGGAGCAACAAUUCUGUAUCUGGGAGGAACCAUAUUGUAUCUGGGGACAACAAGGUCAUAACGGGAGUUGUAUUGUGUGUCUUUAAGGUGGUACACCUUUAUGCAUGCACAACACAGGGUGUCAGGCCGAUUAUACUCCUUGAAAUGGCAAUGAAUGCCACCGCCGCCUCAGCAACAGCAGCCGCGGCCGCAAACAUCAGUACCAGGAGCUGGGAGCCGCGCCCGUCGCAUCAUGCACCGCACCAGGGACAGCUGUGUGAUCGUCUUAUGCAGCACGCUCUGCUCCGUCCUCCUCGUCGUCAUCCUCGUGGCCGGUGUGGUCCUCUUCGUCGCCUAGCUCAGCCUCCGCCCGUGCUACGCCCUCGCCUCUUCUCCCUCUCCAGCCUGGUCCCGAGCAGGCAGGCCGCCUUCAACAUGUCGGACCGCAACCUUAACCGGCACAUCGACAUGUACUAUGACGGUGCCACGCGGGCGUCACUCCGCUUCUACGACCCGCUGGUGGCCUCCGGCCCGGCCUUCCACGCCGGCUGGUAA
rnacentral:rRNA from 1 species